rnacentral:rRNA from 1 species
UAAGGAAUAUUGGACAAUGGAGGCAACUCUGAUCCAGCCAUGCCGCGUGAAGGAAUAAGGCCCUAUGGGUUGUAAACUUCUUUUAGACGGGACAAAACCCCUUUACGUGUAAAGGGUUGAUGGUACUGUCAGAAUAAGCAUCGGCUAACUUCGUGCCGGCAGCCGCGGUAAUACGAAGGAUGCAAGCGUUAUCCGGAAUUAUUGGGUUUAAAGGGUGCGUAGGCGGACUAAUAAGUCAGUGGUGAAAGCCUGCAGCUUAACUGCAGAAUUGCCAUUGAUACUGUUACUCUUGAGUACAGUUGAGGUAGGCGGAAUGUGUCAUGUAGCGGUGAAAUGCUUAGAUAUGACACAGAACACCGAUUGCGAAGGCAGCUUGCUAAGCUGUAACUGACGCUGAGGCACGAAAGCGUGGGGAGCAAACA